GGGGAAUAUUGCACAAUGGGGGAAACCCUGAUGCAGCAACGCCGCGUGAAGGAUGACGGUUUUCGGAUUGUAAACUUCUUUUCUUAGUAACGAAGACAGUGACGGUAGCUAAGGAAUAAGCAUCGGCUAACUACGUGCCAGCAGCCGCGGUAAUACGUAGGAUGCAAGCGUUAUCCGGAUUUACUGGGUGUAAAGGGAGCGCAGGCGGGACUGCAAGUUGGAUGUGAAAUACCGUGGCUUAACCACGGAACUGCAUCCAAAACUGUAGUUCUUGAGUGAAGUAGAGGCAAGCGGAAUUCCGAGUGUAGCGGUGAAAUGCGUAGAUAUUCGGAGGAACACCAGUGGCGAAGGCGGCUUGCUGGGCUUUAACUGAUGCUGAGGCUCGAAAGUGUGGGGAGCAAACAGGAUUAGAUACCCUGGUAGUCCACACUGUAAACGAUGAUAGCUAGGUGUGGGGGGUCUGACCCCUUCCGUGCCGGAGUUAACGCAAUAAGCUAUCCACCUGGGGAGUACGACCGCAAGGUUGAAACUCAAAGGAAUUGACGGGGGCCCGCACAAGCAGUGGAUUAUGUGGUUUAAUUCGAAGCAACGCGAAGAACCUUACCAGGUCUUGACAUCCGACUAACGAGAUAGAGAUAUGUCAGGUGCCCUUCGGGGAAAGUCGAGACAGGUGGUGCAUGGUUGUCGUCAGCUCGUGUCGUGAGAUGUUGGGUUAAGUCCCGCAACGAGCGCAACCCCUGCCAUUAGUUGCUACGCAAGAGCACUCUAAUGGGACCGCUACCGACAAGGUGGAGGAAGGUGGGGACGACGUCAAAUCAUCAUGCCCCUUAUGACCUGGGCUACACACGUAAUACAAUGGCCGUUAACAGAGGGAAGCAAAGCGGUGACGCAGAGCAAAACCCUAAAAACGGUCCCAGUUCGGACUGUAGGCUGCAACCCGCCUACACGAAGUUGGAAUUGCUAGUAAUCGCGGAUCAGCAUGCCGCGGUGAAUACGUUCCCG
rnacentral:rRNA from 2 species